GAUGUGUUUAAAACAGCGUGUUUUAAAGAAUAGAUUGCUUACCAUAAAAUCGUGUUUCACACUCUCAAGGCAAGUGGUCAAACAAGGACUGUGGUAUGUGUCAUUUUAUUCAGGUGUGGAAGUUUAGCCGCCUAAUACCUUCUCUGUUGAGAAACUUCAUUGAACCACUCAUGACAUCUAAGAAGAUCAUUGACAAUGUAUAAACUAAUUGUGGGUUUGAUAUUUAUGUAAAUACCCGUUUACUAUGCUUUAAUUUUGCACAUUCAUGUG